rnacentral:lncRNA from 1 species
AUGGUGGCGCUCCCCGGGGGCGAGAGGAGGCCGAGAGGUAGCGGCGCGGUUGCGGCGCCCGCCGGGCCACGGCGCGCCCGCCUCCACUCACCUCGGCGCCCUGCGCGGAGGACCAGGUGCCCGCCGCCGCCGGCGCUCAGCAGCCUACCCAGGCGAGUGGGCAGCGCCCGCCCCCUGCGGCCGGCGGGCUCGCUGGCGGCGCGGGGAGGCGGCGCGGGGCCCCGCCCGCGGGGAGGCAACGGCGGGGGGCGGCUGCCUUUUGUCAGGGUCCCCGCUGCUGGCUCCGGCCCCCUCCCGAGCAUCCCCGUCCCCGCUCGCAAACACACACACUCGGCCCCCACGUGCCCGCUCCCGGCGGAGGCGCGAGAUCCUUUGUUUGUCGCGGGUGGAGGCGGCGGGAGGGGAAGUGGCGCGCCCCCCCCCCGCCUCCUGCCUGCCUCGGGCCCGCCCGCGGGGGCCGUCCGUCUCCUUCCCUCCCUGCCCUCGAGCACCUGUAGCGCCUCGCCCGCCGCCCCGCUGCGAGCGGGGAGCCUCGUCCCCGGCGCGGGCAGACCYGGAGCUCGCUCCCCUCGCACGGGCUCCGCCACCGGCUCCUCUCACCGGGCCACCCUUUCUCUCUCACAACCCCUCCCCCCCGUGAGCCACAAGCCGGAGGGAAGAGGCGACAACCGCCACCCUCGCCCGCCCAAACGGCCGCGCCCGUGGCACCGCCCCCCGCUCCGCCGCGCCGCGGCCCCGGCGGCGGCGACCGCGGCCGUUGGCACCCCGCUGAGGCGCGGCCAACGGCCAACGCCUCGUUUCGCGCCGCUUUCCCCUCCCUCGCCCCCAGCCCGCUCCCGCCUAGGGGCACAAGUAACUUGGGGGCAGGAGGGCGCUUGUCCUUAUCGCCACCGGCGGGUGAGCGGUGCCACCGUGGCACGCCUUCGGGUCUGGUGUCAGCUACUUGUAACCUCACGGGGCCUGAAACCACUCACACUGAAACCGUCCCUUCAGGAUAAAAAUUAG